AUGGUCAUGCGCCAACGAAUGGACGCUCAGGACAGCGACGGCGGCGGCGUCUUCGACACCUACGAGAAGCUCCGUCAAGCCAAUUCCGAGAAGCUGCAGACCCUUCUCAGUCGCACCGCCCGCCGCACCACGGCCGCGGGUGGUGCGGCGCGGCAUGUAAAGAAGUCUGCCUCCUUGACAGGGGACUAUCUCGACUUUGAGAAUGACGAGUUCGCUGACAGGUGGAUAAACCUCGGCAUGGGGCUGAUGGUGGCGCUGGCGCUGUUCCUCUUUUAUGUCCUGUGGUUCACGGACUGGGUACGGUGAAGUGGUUCUGUAUAUGCGUGGAGGAUGUGAGGGCUUUUCAGGCCUCCGUGUCCGCUCGUGCCCACGGCAACGACGUGCAGCGAGAGUGUGCGCGUCGGUGCGUCUGGAGGCGAAAACGGAGAAGGACUCGGGGCGACAUCCUCAGCCACGCGAAAGCAAAGUCCUUUCAUUGUGAUCCUUUUCGGCCUCCCCACAGGGAUCGGCCCGAGGCCCUUCUCUCUCCAUCAUGGUGGUGGACCGGCUGAGUGCGCAGCGCAUCAAGACCCCCGGACUACGCCGCGCCUUCUUCGCUGAUGACCUCGCACUCCUCACAUUCUCCACAGCGAAAGAUGUCACGCGAACCACACUACGAUCCGCCCGCUGGAGGGCGGAGCACUGGACACGGGAGCACUUCGUGGAGCUGAGUGCCCCCAGAACGAGGUGCUGCACACUCUUCGGCGCGCGACACCGAAGUCAACUGCACACCUCUCCGCCCUCACGCGAGCAGACCACCUCGCGCAUUUGGCGCGGCAGGUGUGCAGGCCGGAUCACGGUGCCGCCACAAUGCCUCUGCAGCUCUCAUACGGGCAUGCAGGCAGGCAUCCGAUCAGAAGUCGCCGCGAUGCUCUACUGCCACCAUGCACUCGUAGGCACCGCGGCAACAGGCUGCGGCCGCCUUGCUUGCAGCUGUCGCACGGAGUGUGAGGGAGUGGAGCUGGGGCUCGACCUGCUGCGGACACAGCACCAGCGCCGAAGACACAGGCAAUCGAGCGUGGCUGCGCACUCGCUCUCCCUCCUCACGACGCUCCGCACCGGCCUGACAGCGGUGGAGGAUGGCACAUCGCGACGCAUUGGUGGGGGGGCACAGGUGCCGGGUCUGCUGGCCUGUCGCGUUCGCCCCUCACUCCAGCCCGUCUCUGGCCCUUGGGAGCUGGUGCACAACGACGUGGCGGGCACGCUUGCAAAGCCAGCCAUGCCAGGGGCGCCGACGCCGACUGCAUGGAUUGCGGACCCGGCCACCGGUCUCACACGCCAGGCCGACAGCCCCCGCUACGGCACUACACGAUGCGACACGCGCUCCUUGCCGGCGUCUGUCCCACACCGAAGCGCAGGCAGGCGGUGCAGCAGGCGGCACCGCCACCCCUCCCCUGCCUGUGUUCGCUGUGAGGGCGGCAUACCAGGCGCUGUGCCCGGUAUGCUACGCGAGAUUCGCGGGUUGCUCGAAGCCCGAAGCGCAGCGCGCUUCGCGCUGUGGUCUUGCGCGCAGUGAUGCGGCUACGCGCACAUCUGCCUCGCGCUGCAUGCGCUUCCCCUGUCGCGUGUCUAUGGCUGCCCCCCCUCCCCCCUGUGUGCCCCUUCACAACGGCAAGCCGUGAGCUCGCUGUGCGCAGACACACGCUUACGCGCGGGUUCAGGAGAGGGUGGAAUGCCCCUGCCGCCACAGACGCACGCCACGGCCGUCACCCUCGAGGGCAGGACCUUGGACGCGGCAUGCUUUGCAUCGAGGCGUGCUGUCCAUCCGAGUCGCCUGUCUGGCGCCGAUCGCGCAGCACGCAUCCGAGAGGAGGUGCGAGGAAAGGACAAGAAGAGCCGUUUGGUCGCACGGCCCUGAUGCGACGGCAGGACGGCAUGACCCAGACGACGACGAUACAGCCGUAUCCCUGCGAAGGCGGGUGAGCUAUGUUUGUGUGUGGUUGUGUUUGUGUGUGCGAGUGUACUCGUGGACCUGGCUGUGGUGGACUUUCCGGGCACGCAAAAAAAAAAGGAAGCAAAACCAACUGUGGAGGAGUGCGUCCGGAGCGGCUCUUCUCGCUUCCAUCAUCCUUGUUCUCUCCUCCAUUUGGCGCGGCGGUGUCUUUCGCUCUCCUAGGCCCCUCCUCCCUCCCUCCCUCCCUCUUGUGUCUGCCCGCCUGCCCGUGCCCUCAUCACCUUAACGACACCCGCACUCCAGCAUCUACCCACUCGUUGACGGAUAGGCACGCGCCACUCCUGUGCGCGACGCUGAUGUUUGCGCACGCCUCUUCGUCUCUCUCGCCUCGUUUCUACUUUUUCCUCCCUCAG
rnacentral:misc_RNA from 1 species